GCCGGGUGCGGUGGCAUGUGCCUGUAAUCCAAGUCACUGGGAGGCUGAGGUUGGUGGAUCAAGUGAGCUGAGGAGCUCUGGGCUGCAGCACACUAUGUGAACGGGUGUCCACGCUAAGUUCGGUAUCGAUAUGGUGUUCCAGGGGGAGCCCGGGACCACCAGGUUGUCUAAGGAGGGGUGAACCGGCCCAGGUCGGAAACGAAGCAGGUCAAAUCCCCGUGCUGUCCAGUAGUGGAUAAUACCUGUGAGUAGAUGCUGCAGUGCAGCCUUGGCGAAACAUCGAGACCUAAUCUUUC
rnacentral:SRP_RNA from 1 species